UGGCAGCGACCACAGACCCAGACCCAGUGAGGUCCGCUCCUGACCCACCACAGACCCACUACUGACCCACCACAGACGGCUGCUCACAGAGAUCACACCGCUUCAGCUCCAGCAACACGGGCAUGAUGUGGACGAUCUGGCUCCGUAGCUGCCAGAUCCAGAACAUCCUCUUCCACUGCUGCCCAAGCCAUUCGCUCUGUGGUGAACGUGGCUGCCCACUGCCCUGAUGGAGAAACUGCAAUCGCACCCCCGGCACCUCGAACACGCUCGCCCAUGUACCUCAGAGACAACUGUGAGGCGUCUGCCACUGAUUUACCUGUUUGUGUGGGGGAGAGAAUAAAAUAUGAAAUAAUUAUACUGUUCUUGCUGCCAUUGUCAAUGAAAAUAAGUCCUGAAAAGGUAAAAACUCGGGUCGAGUCAUUGAAAGAAAGAAUGUUAAAACAUCAAACUCCUCACACCAUCAAAUCAAAUGAAUGUUAUAAUGAAAUACUGUAGUUACUCUGAACUGGGAAUUAUAUAAGACAUUUGCACUGUUUCAAUCUUAUUGAAAAACUGUCUGAUGCUUUAUAGCCAAAUACACAAAUUCUGACAUCAACAAAUAAAGUCUUGCUAAAAAACCUGA